ACUUCACCCUGUAAAAAUAAGAAAGAGUAUAGCAGAAUAAGUAUUCAGUACAAGUAUCAUCAAGUAUUAGGCUCCCAAAAAGAAUUUUCAAUAAUUCCUUGUUAUAAAAGAGACAUUUCUUUCAACAGGGAAUUCUUGAAAAUACUUGAGAAGGGAAUUCUGAAGAGCUCCUUUUCUUGAAGAACUAACAUGAAAUGGAAAAUCAAAGUACAUACAUGGAAGCACCACUGACAAAUAUAAGCACCAAAGAAUAUUGUUUUGAUAAAUUAUUCAGCAGUCUUUAGAAGGAAAGUUAAUUUACAUUUAGGAGGGAGAACUAUUGCAUACCUAGGCGUGUGUGGAUUAUAUAACUCUCAUUUUGAGACACCACCCUCACUCCAAAAAGCAGUAGACUAUAAGGUUUCUUCUCCAGAAAAAUUAUUAAUAACAAAAUGCAUAACAAAAUUCCCAUAAUGCAUUCUAAUUAAGGCAUUCACACCGUCUUUUAGACAAAAGUGCAAACAUAACAAAAUUAAUGCUGUUGCUGGAAAUAAAGAUUUCAUGUAAGGUUAACUAAGCAACAGUUGCCUAUUUAAAACAUCAAGGCCUAGCAAAAGCUCUGCAGAACCAACAAAGCAAAUACCACAGACUACUAAAAACAACACAAAAAUGUCCAAACAAUUAAAGGUAUAUUAAAAAACAACAAUAAUUACCUAAAACACUUUCCCUAAUAACAAAUUGAAGUCAUUUACAGUUUGACAUGAUCAUUAAUAACUAAAAUUACCAUUUUAGCACACUUAAGCUCGUUAAAAAAGUAGGUUUUUUAGCAAGUGAACAUAAUCACAUAAGAAGUACAAAUGAACCAUCUCCCAAAAAGAUAAAUAUUAUAACUAGAAAAGGGCCAUUUUCCAGAAAAAUUAACGGCAAACAAAAUAAAUAAUUUGAUACUUUUCAUUCCAAAAGAAAAAAUCAAACUGAAAAACUCACAGGACAGGUGACCAGACUGAUAUAGAUUCACAAUUGAGGAACAGUUAAACCGUGUCAUAUCUUCAAAAAUAAAGAAUUCAAAUUUAUAAUCAGACUAACAAAUUUUCUCAGCAACCAAAAAAAAAAAA
rnacentral:misc_RNA from 1 species